GUUGCCGUAGCUUAAAGCCCAAAGCACAGCACUGAAGCUGCUGAGAUGGAAAUCAUUACUCCCGAAAACA
rnacentral:tRNA from 1 species